rnacentral:misc_RNA from 1 species
AAAGUCGUAAGCAAGGUUUACCGAUGUCAGGUGGAACCACUGCGGGAAAGGGAAUCAUUUAUCCUAUUUUUAAACGGUGUUGGUUGCGGCCUCCGGGGGUAUCCCCCCUGGUGGUAGAGUAAUACUCGCGCGCGCCACAUGCCUUAGUCCUUUUUUACGAGCACCUUUCGUUCUCCUUCGGUGGGGCAACCUGCCGUUGGAACUUAUCAAAAACCUUUUUUGCAUCUAGCAUUACCUGUUCUGAUACAAACAAUCGUUACAA